UACAGAGGUCUCAAGCGUUGUUCGGAUUCAUUGGGCGUAAAGGGUGCGUAGGUGGCGCUGUAAGUCGGGUGUGAAAUUUCGGAGCUUAACUCCGAAACUGCAUUCGAUACUGCGGUGCUUGAGGACUGGAGAGGAGACUGGAAUUCAUGGUGUAGCAGUGAAAUGCGUAGAGAUCAUGAGGAAGAUCAGUGGCGGAAGGCGGGUCUCUGGACAGUUCCUGACACUGAGGCACGAAGGCCAGGGGAGCAAACGGG
rnacentral:rRNA from 1 species